rnacentral:rRNA from 1 species
UACGGAGGAUGCAAGCGUUAUCCGGAUUCAUUGGGUUUAAAGGGUGCGUAGGCGGCCUUUUAAGUCAGUGGUGAAAUCCUGCCGCUUAACGGUAGAAUUGCCAUUGAUACUGAAAGGCUUGAGUACAGUUGAGGUAAGCGGAAUGUGUAGUGUAGCGGUGAAAUGCUUAGAUAUUACACAGAACACCAAUUGCGAAGGCAGCUUACUAAACUGGCAACUGACGCUGAUGCACGAAAGCGUGGGGAGCGAACAGG